UGCAGAUGAUGCCGAUAUCUCACGAUGGUCUGCCGAGUCCCGCGAGGCUCUGACGACAACGCCACAUGUGGCUUUGCUGAUGCCGGCUC
rfam:Cuculus canorus isolate BGI_N303 unplaced genomic scaffold scaffold400, whole genome shotgun sequence.